GAGUGAGGUGACAAACAAAAUACAAAGAAAAAGAUAUUUAUUCGAGUUGCAUGCAAUUAAGCUCUCAUUUGCAUAGCUGCUAUUGUUACUUUUAUUGUUUAGUCUCAAGUCGGCCUUGAAACAAACAGAUCUAUGAUCAAAAGCGGUUCAGCCUAAUCAGUUCAUCAUUUUUCAUUUAAAAUACAUAUCCAUCCAUCCAUAUUCGCCGCCCAUUAUUCCUGGGGCAUCAUGGUGAAAGUGUCCUCAGGAUCCUCCUCUUCAGGGUCCUGUCAGAAGCAACCGUCACUACAAAUCCUCAAGCGUGUUUCCCAGGCGUGUCAAAAGGAGACUAUGAAUAAAAUCCAACCAUCUCGUUCAUGGUCUUCCCGAUAGGCCUCCUGCCAGAUGGCUCGUCUUAAAGAAUUCAUCUUGCGAUUCUUUCUUGCAACAUUCUAAUCCUGUGUCCACAGUAUCGUCGCUGUGAUCGCUCAAUGCAGAGAAGAAAUGACUUGAUCUGAAAAGACUUCUUGAUCUCCGAGCUGUAUACCCUCUCGAAUAAUGUUACUCCAUAGAGUCAUCGGAGGGACACCAUUUCGGUCGCUUGUAUUCGUGACUCUAUUCUCUUCGGUUAUAUAUAUAUGUAAACUUCUCAUGUUCGUGUGUUUACACGUAUUAUAUCAGACCCUGACAUUGUGUGGACUGGGUUUCUCGCUGGCAAGCCUCUGCUAUUAAAUGAAGUGUUCGACUCUUGUAGUCUUCAAAUUGGUGGCUCCAAAUCCCUAAAGCUACUGGAUUUGCUGUGUAUAGAAACAAAUUGACUGCUCCUUUCCCUGAGAUUGUUGAGUGAUGUAGAGUGAUCUGUUAUAAGAUUCAACAAGGGUCAAAAGCCGAUUCCGGUUGUUCGUCAUUUGUUUCAGUCUAAGGAGAAAUUGGUUAAAUUUGACAUUUUUGCUUUCCUCACUCACUCACUCACUCACUCACUCACUCACUCACUCACUCACUCACUCACACUCUCACUCACUCUCUCUCUCUCUCUCUCUCGCUCCACACAUGUUUAUAUAAGACUACAUUGUUCUGAAAGAGUGAUGCAAUUCGAGGGAGUUGGUUGCUAUUUGUAGCAAGACUAGUGACCAUAUUGAGGCGUCUACGUUAGCUUGUUGUUGUUAUUGUUGUUGUUGAGUAACCAAAAUGAGAUCUAUUUGUUGUUACUGAGCAUCCACAAUCAGAUCUGUUUGCCGAUUAUCCACGAUCAGAUGUUUUGUUUUUUGAAUAUUUACAAUGAGUCUGUCAUUAUUGAACAUCCACAACGGAUCUGUUUGCUCUAAAGUAAAUUUCCUCGACCAGAUCUCUUAGUUGCUAUUGAAUAUUCACCAGACAUUGUUUGCUAUUGUUGUGCAUACAAGUUCAGAUAUCUUAGCUGUUGUUGAAUACCCAUUAUCAGAAAUGUUGUUAAUAAUGGCUCAGUGGUUAGAGCGUCGAGCUUACGAUCGUGAGGUUGUGAGCUCGAAUCCCGGACCGGGCUGCGUGUUGUGUUCUUGAGCAAGGCACUUUAUUUCACGUUGCUCCAGUUCACUCAGCUGUAGAAAUGAGUUGCGACGUCACAGGUGCCAAGCUGUAUCGACCUUUGUCUUUCCCUUGGAUAACACUGGUGGCGUGGAGAAGGGAGGCUGGUAAGCAUGGGCGACUGCUGGUCUUCCAUAAACAACCUUGCCCGGACUUGUGUCUAGGAGGGUAACUUUCUAGGUGCAAUCCCAUGGUCAUUCAUGACCGAAGGGGGUCUUUACCCCUUUAGUAUGCACAAUCAGUUCUGUUGUUUGUCACCAUGUGCCUACGAUCAGAUUUGAUUCUUCUUAUUCAGUAUUAACAAUGUUUGUUGUCAUUAUGCAGUAACGAGGAGGGCUGUUUCCAAACUGAGCAUAUUCUUCAUUCCCCAAAAAACAAAUCAAAGAAGUUCCGUCAUUCUGAAAACUUAUUAAAUUAGCUCACUUCUGCCUUCUAAAUUACUGAAAGGAAAUUGUGUAGAACUACUUAUAAACAAGAUAGUGUUCAGCAGAAUUCAUCCACAUAAUGUAACAAUAAUGUUUACAUUUACAACUCGGUUUUUGUAAGUGGUUCUGCGCUACAUGUUUUAACCCUUUAGUGUUCACAUUAUUCUGCCAAAAUUAAUGCUUUUUUAUCCACAUUGUUUUGAACUAAUCAUGCAUUAUCUUGUAGCUUUGAGAUUUUGAUGAGGUAGCUGUUCAUUUUUAAAACGACAUUGUAGGAUUGGUGUGAGAGACCAGAUCUGGCCAGUUUGAACAUAAAACAGGUAGAAUACUUUUGGCCGGAUAUGGCCAGUUUAAAUGCUAAAGGGUUAAAGGACACCUCGUCUUCCAUUCAACUAUCCAUGCCAUGAUAUAAGGACUUUAACUUUUAAAUGUGCCUAACUCAUAUUUUACUUGUGUUUGGAAUGCCAUUGCUUAUUUAUACAGGAGGUUUUCUUUAUGUCCGCUGAGACGAAUCAGUUCUUAAUUUGCCAUAGGAUAGGGAAUUCGCACAACAAGCGGUGCAAUAGGAUUAUCUCGAUCUAUGCAUCGUUGGCCUUUGAAAAUUAAUUAAUCGUUUCGCAAUAGGAAACCUUGUUACUGGCUGCUCUACAAGCUCUACGACCACUGAUACGUAAAGCUACGAAUAAAACACUGCUAUAAGACGAUUGGGUGGAGCUGUUUGGAUGUCGAGGAAUUGACGCGGCUGACCACACAUUCAGCCUGUUUUGGCGUCAAUGGGUCGAUCCGUGGUUAGGGAAAACGAUAUUUGCCGAAGAUGCCCUCUAGCGGCUGUGCCUAUCCUUUUACCAAAGUUCUGUUCAAACAGAACUGGCCUAAACAAAAUCUGCAACAACAACAAAGCAUGUGCUAUGAAAUAACAAAGAAAACCCUACAUGGUUGCUCGAUUUACAAGAAAAAGCAGCCAAGUUUCCCUGAAAUCACUUUGUACGGUCUGAAAAAAAAGAGAGGUUACGCUGAAUAAUAUAGUUAUAGAAAUAUUAUAUUUGAAAGCAAUACAGGGUAGCCAUAACUCUAAAAAUCUUUGAUCAUCGAUCUGCUCGAUCAGACACUGGCCUGUGGUUAAACAAAAACAACACUUGCUAUUCUACUGAUUAAGGAGCAAAAUCAACGCUAGCAGGAUUUGAACGUAGACUAUAUUUGUAGUGCCUACAUACACAUAGCAGCAAUUUAACAAAUGGAAGGCAAACUGUUAUGAUAAGAUUUACUUAACUAUGAAAUAGUUAUGUCCUCGAUAUCACGCCAGCUAUAGCAGCUGACAAUAUCCCUUUUAAGUUCCUUAAAUAAUGAUGUCAGGGUCCUACUUUAAAAACAAACAUAAGGCUUCAAACUUUUGGGGGAGGGGAGAGAACUGUCGAUUCUAUCGGAAGUAGUACCUCACUGGCCAAAUUUAACGGAGCACACACACACACAUCACACACCAGACCACACACCUACUCUCACUCUCUUCCGCCCCCUGUCUCUCACUUUUUUUUCUCUCUCUCUCACACACACAAACACACACACGCACACACACACACACACAGAUACACACAUACAUACACACACACACACACACAACCCCCCCCUACAGCAUUUCAAAAUUUACACAAAGGGGUUUCAGUUUCGGCCCAAGGGUGUGGUACUAUAGCCCCAGGUGACCAAAUGCUUUGUGAGUGAAUUUGGUAGAUGGAAAGUAUGUGGAAGUCCGCUGUAUAUACAUAUAUGUGUGUGUUUUCCCUCACCGCAUUACAACCGCUGUUGUUUUGUUUUCGUUUCCUGAAUUUAGAAUAAGUACCAAACUUUAAAAAAAAUCAGUACUGGGAUCAAUUUGUAUAAUUAAACCCAUCAAAGCGGUGCCCCUGCAUGGCCGUGGUCCAAAUAACUUAAACAAAUAAAAGAAUCGAUUUUCUAACGGCUCUGUCAACUCUCCGCCUUAAUCUCAGUAAACUAAGUACCUGUAAUAUUUUGGGGUUGAGCCAUGUGUACUUUUAAACCACAAAAAGGUGCGUAAAGAACAUCUAUGUAAAAGCUCGGACUACUAGAAAGGGCAACCAACUAUGCCUCAAACCAUAACCUAUCAUCUUAAACAUAAGCACUGUUGUUUAGUGUUAUCUGGAGUAUACCAUAACUAUUUACAAAUAAGAUGGAGUGGUCAUGGCUGGAAAUCCUUUUACCAAAGUUCUGUUCAAACAGAACUGGCCUAAACAAAAUCUGCAACAACAACAAGGCAUGUGCUAUGAACCAACAAAGAAAACCCUAUAUGGUUGCUCGAUUUACAAGAAAAAGCAGCCAAGUUUCCCUGAAAUCACUUUGUACGGUCUGAAAAAAAGAGAGGUUACGCUGAAUAAUAUAGUUAUAGAAAUAUUAUAAUUGAAAAAAAUACAGGGUGGCCAUAACUCUAAAAAUCUUUGAUCAUCGAAUUGCUCGAUCAGACACUAACCUGUGGUUAAACAAAAACAACACUUGCUGUUCUACUGAUUAAGGCGCAAAAUCAACGCUAGCAGGAUUUGAACGUUGAACAUAAAAUGUCUUCAGCACUUCCUUGAAAUGUUGUGGUAUUUGAAGUUUGAAAGAGGCAGCAACGAUCUAGUUGGCGUAAAUCCUUUAAAUUCAGCCCAGUUUUCAACUGAUUUACGCUAAAUAGAUAGAAUUCUAUUCACAUAUGAUUUAUUUAUGUUUGUUAUGGUAAUUUGCAUCAAUAAAGCGGCACCACGGUUCAUUUGCUCUUAGCGCACUAUUUAAUUUGGUUGAAAGCAAAUUAGCGCUCCCUUUCUACCCGCAAAAUUUUGCCUGCGUCUGCAAAGAAUAUUUCAUAUUUAUUGAUUAAUUUUUUCUCCCCUGAUUAUAAAACAAAUUUUUGUUGGGAAAAUAAUUAUUGUCGAUUAAAUCAAUUAUAGUAUCCUAGAGAUAUUGUUUGUUUUUGUACAUCCGGAAAAUUUAGAUGUAAAGCCAACCUCCAGUAGAAUUUAAACAGAGGAAUAUUGAAGAAUACUAAGCUCCCCUUUUUCAACAGCAAUGCCUCCUGUUCGGUGUUCAAUUGUAUGUAUUAGGUAUUUGAAAUAAUUUCGGCCACUUUAAAAAGAAGUAUUUCUGUUGCAGCCUAUUAAUUACAAUAUAGGCAAUAAUAGAAAUAGGUUAUAGGAACUAGGAGUACGUUAGGGCUCGUGUGCUUGAGCUUGAGAAAGAGAGUGGGAGUUAGAUGCUGUAAGCCCUCUCCACCACUCUCUGAGCUGAAAAUUAAGGGGACUCUCCAAUUCCUUUGCAAUAAGCAGCAGAAAUGAGGUAGGAAAGGAGUGGAAUUAAACAUUAUAAAUACUCUUACUCUUGACCUAAGAAGUAAAGAAAUGCCACCUCCGGGGACUCAUUCAAGUUUCCAUCGUUAAAUAUAGUCAACUACUCGCAGAAAAUGCCGAGUUAAAGUAGUUAAAUUUAUGCGUUGAUUCCUGGCAAAUAUGUUCAGUGUCCGAAGUCAGAGGGAAGCACUCCGUCGGUUACGACGAUGAGGGUUCGGGUUGAUCCGAAUCAACGGAACAGCCUGCUCGUGAAAUUAACGUGUAAGUGGCUGAGCACUCCACAGACACGUGCACCCUUAACGUAGUUCUCGGGGAUAUUCAGCGUGACACAGAGAGUGACAAGGCCGGCCCUUUGAAAUACAGGUACAACAGAAACAGGAAGUAAGAGUGAGAGAAAGUUGUGGUGAAAGAGUACAGCAGGGAUAACCCCCCCCCCUGCCGGAGCCUCGUGGAGCUUAGGUGUUUUCGCUCAAUAAACACUCACAAUGCCCGGUCUGGGAAUCGAAACCGCGAUCCUAUGACCGCGAGUCCGCUGCCCUAACCACUGGGCCAUUGCGCCUCCCCGAAGUCAAAGACACACAUAAUGUCACAACGUCAGUUAACAGGGCAAUAGGCGAGAGGAAAUUUUGUGCCAGGGGACAACGGCCUUUGUUCAUCUCUUGUCACACAGCAAAUAUGUGAUAAGUCGCACAAGGUUUCAAUUCUCAUUCGAAGCAGAUUCUUUCGCUCUAUUAACCUCUCCAAAGAAAACAUAGACGGGAAAAAUAUUCUUAUCCAGUACAAAUUUCUAUCCAAAAUAACUUUAUUGUGUUCAUAUCAGCCUAGAACAGUCCUUGAAGGCGAUUUAUUUGAAUUCCUAUUUAUGGUGGAGGUAAAAAAAAAAACUGAAUAGAUAAGGCAUGUUUACGCUUACAUACAUACGUACGUACAUACAUAAAUACAUACAUACAUACAUACAUACAUAAAUACAUACAAACAUACAUACAUACAUACAUACAUUCAUACAUACAUACAUACAUAAUACAUACAUACAUACAUACAUACAUACAUAAAUACAUACAUACAUACAUACAUUCAUACAUACAUACAUACAUACAUACAUACAUACAUACAUACAUACAUUCAUACAUACAUUCAUACAUACAUACAUACAUACAUACAUACAUUCAUACAUACAUACAUACAUACAUACAUACAUAAAUACAUACAUACAUACAUACAUUCAUACGCAUAUUAAGCAUACAUUCAUGCACAAAUACACGCGUGCACACACACACACAUAUAUAUAUAUAGGUAUACACUGAGAUUGCACGACAGAUAAGAGUGGGAGAGAGGGAGAGAGAAGAGAAAAGGGAGACAGAGAGAAAGAGAGAGACAAAGAGAGACAGAGAAAUAGAGAGAAAGUACUGGAAAAGAAAUAGAGAGAAGGAGAGUGAGAGAGAGAGAGAAAGAGUGAGAUAGAAAGAAAGAGAGAGAGAGAGAGAGGAGGUAGAAAAAUAUGAAAUAGGAAAUUGAAAAUAUCUGAAUAAAUAAAUCAAUCAAUAAAGAGGAAAGAGAGAAGUUAAGAGAGCAGGAGACAACGAGAUAAAUAAUUUGGUAAGCAGUAAGAAGAGAGAGAGAGAGAGAGGGAGAGAGAGAGAGAGAGAGAGAGAGAGAGAAAAGGGAGAUAAUUAAGGAAUAAUUUAAAGGAAGCGAGUGCAAGUAGUAUGAGAAAAGCAGAAGAUGAACUGAAGACAGACAUUAAACGAUACAAAACAAUUUUUUUUAAUUAACUGAAAAAAUGAAGAUUAAAAAGAAAAAGUACAAACACACACACACACACACACACACACAUAUAUAGAAUAACCGAACUGAGUUACACACACAAAGGUUACUCAUGGAAAUAUUUCAAUGGAUAAUUGCUGCAGUAAUUUGGUGAAUCUACUGCGUCUCAUUCUAACAAGCGAGUGUAGGACGUUUUGAAAACUGUAAGUCAGUAAGCUUGUGUCAUGGUGGACGAUAUCUAUCGAUUAAUCGUCUGCUUGACGGAUAGGACUUUCUGUUUGAUUAAAUCUGGCUGAGGGCAUCUAUAAACAGUGAAUUGACUGCAUUGCUGCAAAUUUGGAGUUGGUGCUGUUUAAAUUAGAACUCUGUUGUAGGGGGAAGCAGAAGAAAUAUUAGAAACAUAGGCGAUAUAAAUAUUAAUAUCGCAGUGUUUGCUAUAUUAUUAAUAUUAAGUGGAUUGGCAGAAUCGGUAAAGCGUUGAACAAAAUGUUUUACUGUAUUCAGAUACAGGACCUUCAUAUUUUGAGUUCAAAUCUUAUCGAGGUUGAUCUUGUCUAUUAUCGUUCGGGUGUGGGUGGGUAAAAUAAAAGCCAGUCAAGUACUUGGGUUUAUCUCUUAAAACUUGUGUCAUUGUGACUGAUUGUGCUAGAAAUAGCUCUCCAUAAUGAUGGGUUACUGGAAAAUAAACCAGGGGUUCAGCAGUUCGUAUCUGAGUAAGGGCCAAGCACUGUAUUCAUGGCCAAUUUAUUUAACUUGCAACUUGGACAAUCAACAAAACUAAAGUCCCAGGCACUUACUCAGGUCUGAUUACUGAUCAAUUAGUCCUUCAUAAAUUUGUGGCCCUGUGCAAGAUCUUUAUUGUUAUUUGGGGUUAAGGCAGCGAGCUAGCAACAUCAUUUGCACGCCACAUAAAAUGCUAAGCGGCAUUUCUUUGCGUUCUGAGUUCAAAAACCUCCUAGUCGAUUUUGUCUAUAAUCCUUUCAUCUUUGAUAAAAUAAAGUACCAGUCAACUACUGGUGUCGGUGUAAUCGACACAAACCCCUUUGUCUAAAAUUAGUGACCCUGUGCCAAAGUUUGAAACAAAACUUAUAUAGGGUCGGUUUAGUUGAUAACCUCCUCCAUCACCGAAAUUUAUGAUUUUGAGCCUACUUUAGAAGCGAAGCAGUGGGGGAAAAUACCUUGUCCAACUCUAUAGGUUCUGAGUUCGAAUCUUGCUGAUGUCAACUUUAAUUUAAUCCUGUCGGGAUCGAUAAGAUAAAGCAUCAGUCAGGUGCCAUGGUUUAUUCAACUGACCAACACCCUUCCCCCAGAUUUUUAACCUUACUAGAAACAGUUAUUUUUUUCUACUCAAGGCACAAGGCUCGACAUUUUUGGGGAGGGGGCCAGUCGAUUAGAUCGACCCUUGUACGCAACUGGUACGUGAUUUAUCGACCCAGAAAUGAUGAAAGGCAAAGUCGACCUCGGUGGAAUUUGAACUCAGAACGUAAAGACAGACGAAUACCGCUAAGCAGAAACAAUUAUUAUUGUUGUUAUUUGUUUGCUUGUGUGAUGUGAAUAGACAGUUUCAUGUUGAAAAUAGUUUUAACUAGGCAUCAACCAGACUAUCGGAUGUUGUUAUACAUCGCUGGUCACAAUGCGCUUCUCGUUCUUUUAGCUUUCGAAAGACGACAAGCGGCUGGAUAGGCGAGCAGGCCAACAGUCCCGCUGAUCGGGAGACUAUUCCGCCACAGGGUGUGACCCGUUUACAGCUGAAUAGCCUGGGGUAACGUGAAAUGAACUGUUUUGUACAAGAACACAGCAUACGAAAGAAAAAUGAAAUUGGUUCUUCUUGCUAUCAAGAGUCUUUGGAACAGUUGUACAUCUGUUUUACUCAGGUCGUGGAAUGGUCAGUUUAUAAGGAAUUUUUAUACCGCUACAUAUUGACAUUCAAAACAUCUAUAAGUUGGAAAAUGGCUGCCCCAUAUAAUGGCUGCCCCAUAUAAUGGCUGUCCCUCAUAAGAAGUGGAAAGAGAAUUAACAUAAACAAACAUCUGUCAGAAACUAAAAUAUAGAUCAAGUACACAGGAAAUUCACUAAGUUUCACUUGCACAAUAGAGGAUACAAAAAGAAUGGCACUGGAAAGAAUAACUAUAUAAAUAGAAAAAAAAAUAGAAAAAAAAAUGACGUCAUUCCCAACGACAUCCCAUCAUCAUUGUGUUAAUGUUAUGGAUAAAAAAAAUUGACGGCAGGCAACUCGAUUCGAAUAAGCACAAAAAAAAGAGAGGGAAACAAUGGGUAAGUCACAAAGGUGUUUCCUUAUCCAACGAGCUUAUCCAGGAAAGGAUAGGGAAAAAGGAGACGUAACUCCAUAUGUGUUUCCAUAUGACCUCGAAGAAAACGCUCGAUGAAUCUUUGGAUAAUGUAUUUUAGAAUUUAUACUCCAUCGAUCGGAAUGCAAAAUGACAGGUGGAAUUGAUGCAUCAAACACCUGCUCACAGGCUGCUCCCACGAUACAUGGGUCUAAGAAAUACCAAAAUUACUGCCAAAGACAUUGAUACAGACAUCUACCCCUGAAUGUUGUCAGCUUUGCGCAAAACUACGGUCAUGUAAUGAGUGUGAAGGGAGUUGGUUGGGGCGCAUACAGUCAUUUAGUUCCUAGUGAUCCCCAAAGAACACAAGCUAACUCUAGAAUUGUUGCCCGUGAGGGAGGAGAGAGAAAGUCUAACGGAUUGGUGAGGUAUGGUAGAAGGCCCAGUCGCUACACGUGCGAUAGUAAGGGCCAUUUAAAGGUCUUCUGCUUGACAGAAGAGGCUAAAGAGAAGAAAAGAGAAGGUGAGACACAGCUGUAGGAGCAGACACAACGGCAGCAACUGUUAAGACAAUGGCUGCUGGUAUUGCCGCUCUUUCCGGAGCACAAGUCGCAAUUCCGGGAAUAGCCAGGCCUGAAACAAGUAAAACUGUAUUUUAAUCAAUAAACCACCGAAUGAUAUUAAAAAAACAAACAAACAAACAAACAAAAAACCCGCCAUCUUCGUGAAAAAAUAAUACUUAAAUAGUGAUAACAUAUGUCAUGAGUGUUAAAAGCCAAUUAAAAUUAAUUAUAUGGUAAGGAAUAGGCAACAUUAGAUCAAUGAAGUGGUCUAGUUACAGCGAAACAUGUCCAGAAAUGUUAUCCUUUCUUGUCAAAAUCAUCGAAAUAAAUUUAAUCAUUGAACUAUUGUAUGUCUUUUCCUCACUGCAUAAUUAUUUCAAAAUGGGUUUUGCUUAUUGUAUAUUUGUAAUUAACUUAAUUAUUAUAUUUUAAUCUAGUUACUUUCCGAAUACUGAACUGUUUGCCUGUCCCAGUAUAUGUGAUGCGUAGUAUAUAUUUCUCCGGCGUUUAUGUAACUUAUAUAACACAGAUUACCAUCUUUUUUUUCAACCACCAGAGUGACUUGGGACUUAAGAAAGAAGAGCUUUAUGUUAUUCAGACCAUAGGAAACUGGGAUUAACUUUUAGUCUGAAAACAAGCAUGGAUAUCAAACCACACUUAUGAAAAUAUUUCGGUCAGAAAAAAGGCUGAAUGCUCCGUUGAAGAGACUAUUGCUGCUUUCUAAAUCGCGUUACUGUUGUUUACUGCUACCACUACUACUGCUACUGCUGUUGCUGGUGCUGUAGCUAUUGUUGUUGUGUAGGCAUAAAUAAGACCUGGACGAAGUAGACUUGCAAUAAAAUUGUCACCUAUAGGCGUAGGAGUGGCUGUGGUAAGUAGCUUGUUUACCAACCACAUGGUUCCGGUUUCAGUCCCACUGCGUGGCACCUUGGGCAAGUGUCUUCUACUAUAGCCUCGGGCCGACCAAAGCCUUGUGAGUGGAUUUGGUAGACGGAAACUGAAAGAAGCCCGUCGUAUAUAUGUAUAUAUAUAUGUGUGUGUGUCUGUGUUUGUCCACCCAACAUCACUUGACAACCGAUGCUGGUGUGUUUAUGACACCGUAACUUAGAAUAAGUACUAGGCUUACAAGGAAUUAGUCCUGGGGUCGAUUUGCUCGACUAAAGGCGGUGCUCCAGCAUGGCCACAAUCAAAUGACUGAAACAAGUAAAAGAGUAAAAGAGUAAAGAGAGUAUUUGUCUUGGUUCGGGAAUUGUAGAAACGGGGCUAAGUUAUUUUUCUUUUUUGAAUUUAUACCAAAGUGUGUGAUUUGAAGCAGAUUUGACUGUUAUAUCUAGCAGUGCAAGCCACCGCCUAGAGACAUCGUCAUUGUUUCCACUUCGGAUCACGUUUUAAGACACCUGCAAAAGUUAUUACAUCCCAAAGGGGGGAAAAAAACUGAAGGGAAGAACACAGAGACACACAUAGCCACACAUAGUACACACACACAUACACACACAAUAACACACACACAACACACACACACAACACACACACACACACACACACACACACACACACACACACACACACACACACACACACACACACACACACACACACACACACACACAUACAAAAAGAAGUAAUGUUGUAAACCAUGUUAUUUGUUUCCGAGCUUCGUUUUAUCUUUAUUGCCAGGUUUUCAAAAGAAAAAAGCAAAAUAAACCUUCUUUUGGGUGAAAUUAUGUGAUAUUUGCGAGAUAUUUCCAGAAGAAUAUCGAUUUUUACUUCUUGUUCUGUGUGUGUGUGUGUGUGUGUGUGUGUGAGAAUGAGCAGCAAAAACAACAGAAUCAAAGCAACAGGCAAGGAAUUAACAAUAACAGUAACCAACAAUGACGACGACGACGAUCAUGAUGGUGAUGAUGAUGAUGAUGAUGAUGAUGAUGAUGAUGAUGAUGAUGGUGAUGAUGAUGAGGAUGAUGAUGAUGAUGAUGGUGGUGGUGAUGAUUAUUAUUAUUAUGAUGAUGAUGAUGAUGAUGAUGAUGAUGAGGAUGAUGAUGAUGAUGAUGAUGAUGAUGAUGAUGAUGAUGAUGAUGAUGAUGAUGAUGGUGAUGAUGAUGAUGAUGAUGAUGAUGAUGGUGAUGAUGAUGAUGAUGAUGAUGAUGAUGAUGAUGAUGAUGAUGAUGAUGAUGAUGAUAAACACAAUGGUUACCGUAGUCGUAAUCUGACGUCUAUCCUGUUCAAGUAAUCAACAGUAUAUGAAAACGAUCAACACUCCAAGGUGGAGAAAGGUUGAAAAAUAAAAUAUAACGUGUGAAAGAAAGUAAAUCGUAAAUCGUAAAUCUCUAAAUAAGAAAAUUCAGAUGUGAGAAUCCAUUCAGAGAAUUGAAAAUAACUUUUUUUUUUUUCUUUAUAUAUCGUCUAAAUACAGUUUUCAACAAUGUGUAUAAAGCUGCUCUUUCUAUGAACGGAUAUGCCGAGAGAUAACAAUAAACCUUUCAAUUUUUUUUUUCUAACGUACACGAAAAUAUUGUUUCAAUCAGGAUGGAUGGAUGGAAUCUUUAUUAAAUCAACUGAAGAGCUUAUAACCAUCUGCUCUAAGCCGAUCAUUUUGACUUCAAAGAGUUAAAUUAAAGGCUUGCAAAUAGUUUGAAAGUAAGUCUCCCGGCUUGCGGAAUAGCAAAUCAGCUUUCAUUUGUGGUUAUAAUCAUUUUUGAUUGAAUUAUGUUCGUAUUGCCGUUGGGAAGGGGCACGAUUGUCAUAACUGCCUAAUUUCCCCAUCCACGUGAAUCGCAGUUUUUGAGCCUGUAUUGGAAUAAAUGCCGCAAAGUCGCCGAAACUCACUACUCGGUAGUUUCAAAUCAAAUUUGUAAUCAAUCGAACGAAUGACAUUGAUGUUGCGACACUACAAUAUUCAUUUUGCAUAAAUCUGCGCUACCCAGUGUUAAGCUUUGUAGACUAAAAUGGGGAAUGUUUAUUAACCUUUACGAAGAAAUUGUCUAAGGCGCAGGAGUGGCUGUUUGGUAAGUAGCUUGCUAACCAACCACAUGGUUCCGGGUUCAGUCCCACUGCGUGGCAUCUUGGGCACGUGUCUUCUGCUGUAGCCCCGGGCCGACCAAUGCCUUGUGAGUGGAUUUGGUAGACGGAAACUGAAAGAAGCCUGUCGUAUAUAUGUAUAUAUAUAUAUAAGUGUGUGUCUGUGUUUGUUCCCCUAGCAUUGCUUGAUAACCGAUGCUGGUGUGUUUACGUCCCCGUCACUUAGCGGUUCGGCAAAAGAGGCCGAUAGAAUAUGUACUGGGCUUACAAAGAAUAAGUCCCGGGGUCGAUUUGCUCGACUAAAGGCGGUGCUCCAGCAUGGCCGCAGUGAAAUGACUGAAACAAGUAAAAAGAGUAAAAAAGAAAAAGAGUAAUGUCGAUUAUGUAGGCAACGAAUUAGCGGAAUUGUUAGAGUGUUGGAUAGAAUACAUCGCAGUACUUUGAGUUCAAAUACCUCCGAAGUCAAAUUAGUCUUUCAUUCUUUUGGGUUCGAUAAAACGAAGUAGCGAUACAGAGUGGUGGACUGGUAGAACUGUAAGAAAAGAAAACCACACGGAAUGUUUUACUGUAUUGGUCCGAGCAUUUUGCGCGUUCUUCUUAGUUCAAAUCUCGCCAUGGCUUACUUUAGUGGUAAUCUUAAUCGAUCACCUACUCUAACACAACCCUUUUGUAAUUUUGGUACCUAUCAUGGGAGUCACAUCUUCCUUCCAAUUAAUUUGAACUCAGAACGUAACGGCAGACGAAAUACGGCUACGCAUUUCGCCCGGCGUGCUAACGUUUCUGCCAGCUCGCCACCUUGAUACUACUACUACUACUACUACUACUAUUACUACUACUACAUAAAGAACUUAGGAUGUUCCAGACAUUGUGACCUUUUACCAGUUAGGUCACUGUAACACUUCGCUUUAGAAUAUAUUAACCCCCCCCCGCCGCCACACACAAACACAAACACAAAAUACUUAUUCAUAAUUUGUUUAGCAUAUUUAAUAACUGGUUAAAUAUAAACGCGAUUAGCAGAAUCCGCUAUUAUCUGAAUUCGAAUUACGGACAUUUUACGUGGGUGUUUAAAAGAUAUAUAUAUUCAACAAACAAACACAACAUUUGAAAUAACAUUCCAUGGGUGUCCUUGUUGAUUUCUUUCUAGAAAAAAUAUGGUUUUGAAUAAUGUUAAAUUCAGAAGCAGUUUUAUAAAGAUAUCUUCGUCUACUGUUUUUGUUAGAAUGCCAGGAAAGAAUUGAUUUCCACUCAGACAGGUAGAAACUGGUUUAGUAAUAAAGAGACACUAGUUAGUUAUUUAAGACGUUACUUAUAUGUUUUAAUCGAGAACUUUUAGACACAAAAGAUCUCUAUAUUCUCAAAGGAAAUACGUUGUUAUAAGUACGCUCGUUCAUCCACAUCCUGGUCUACAAGAUAUUUUCCUUUUUCAUGUUUGAGGAUAGGCUGUUAGUUAGGUUGUGUGGACACAGUUCUAAGUAUAACAGAAUCAAGACUCUAAUUUUGUUUCAUUGUUUUUACUGUUUCGAGUCCUGGGACUCAUAGGUCUGAUUAUCUGGUACCCAUAGUGAAGACGUGACCUCUCCACCAACGGAACGCCUAUCCAUCGAACGUUCCUAGUUUACAACUGAGUGAAGUGGAGAAACGUAAAAAUGAAGCAUUUUGCUCAAAAACACAACGCAUCACCCGGUUCAGGAAUCGAAACCAGAAUUUUGCAGAAAUUUUGCUUCACUCCUACGCUCUAAUAUAGACAUCUUACUAUAAUAGGCGUUAUGUCCGUCUGUCUACCAGUCUUUCUGUCUGUUUGUUCCCUCUUCACGGUCAAACGGCUGGACAAAUGGUCAUGAUGUUUUUCGGGAUUACGAAGGAAGUAAGCAGGAAGGUUUUUAUAAAAAAAAAGUAAAAAAAAGUGAAAAAUUAUGAUCAUUUAGUGGUUAUUGAGUUUUUAUGUUAAAUUUUUGAAUUUUUAUGUUAAAAUUCCGGCGACGAGGAUUAACUCUGGAUUCCCUUACCCCGCAUAGUUCGUGAAUUUAGAGGGUUUAGAUUUGCGAUACUAUCCCUUUAUUUCCCAUCGUAGACGGGCAAAUUUGCUAUCUUACUGUAGGUGCAUUUUACCCACUCCGAUGUUUAUACACGGCCAGUUAUACUUCAUUACGAGUAGAGCAACGGACUCCAGUAAUUUGAAAAUUAGUGUCAACCAAACAGAAAUUAUCGUUUACAAAGAAGCUUCGUAAUCAUAUUGAUAUUAUCGAAAGGAAUAGGAUUCAUAAUUUAAAUAAGGAAAUUUGUGAACUUUGAAUGUAUAAGAGUAUAAACAAGCCUUAAAUAAAGUAACGAACUAAAAUGAAAGUAGAUGUAAAUAACAUUUUUUUCUUAAUACUUUUUAUGCAGUGUUCGAAGGAAGCUCUGGCUUUCGUUAUGAGUGGUCCACAUAAUCAUACAAGAUACAGAGACUGGGAGCCUAUUUCAGUUCGGGAGUGAAUCGUCAUCACAUGUCACUUUGUCGCAAACACGUCAAACAUUUACAAUAGAAUGAUGUAUCACCAACAAUAAUGUGAUUUCUCUGAGACAUCACCCAGUAAUCUAUCAAGUACAUUUACGCAUUCCUCAACACAUACUGCUGUUAUGACUUCCCUCCCUCAUUUUACGCCUCUAUCGUAGAUGGGUAGAUUUGCUAGUAAUAAUAAAGAUUCCUGUUGGUAACAGGUAUUUGUAAUUUAACCUAAUUCCUUUUAUAAUGAAUACAAGACAGAAAAAUGCUUUUCCGUUGUUUUUUAAAUCCAUCGAAGGAUUUGUUUCAUCCACUACAGAACCUACUCGCUACUUCCCCUGUCAGCCACUCGCCAUGCUAACACUUGAAAGUUUGAUGGAUAGUGUCAUUUGACUUGCGUAAGUGUGUGUAUACCAUGUACACUGUUGGAUGUUAACCAGUCCUUGGGCACGCUCAUGUUCUACCAACUUAUUUAGGUUUUUUUUGAGAAGCUGUCAUUGUACUGUUAACUUAAUCCUUAAUCCGUUUGUUUCAACACCUCUUUCAGAGCAACCACAAACCGUAUAUAUCUGUUCACCUCCAACAAUAACAAACAGUCGCUAUAUUUCAUUCCAUAACUGCCAUCUCUAAAGAGUGCGGGGUAACAUAAUCGGAGAGUUGUCUAACAGUCAGUUGAACCCCUAGUGCAAAACCGAUCGUUAAGAUCGGCCGUAAUGGAGGUAUAAUAAAGUAAACAUCCUUUAAUAGACCCAGUCUACUGACAGACACACGAGGACCCACUAUAUAUAUAUAUUCAUUUAUAAGGUCUCUUCACAUGAAGCCAUUGGUAGCCCUGUUAACCCACAAAUAAACUAUAUAUAUAUAUAUAUAUAUAUGUGAUCUCUUGAGCACCACCAGCUCAAAUAUUUUUUCCUCUGUCUUCCCUUCUUGGGAUCUUUUCUUCUUCUUGUUUCCGACGAAGAGCUCCGCUCGAAACGUUAAACCCUCCUUCCCUUCUUUCCUGAGCGUCAAUAAUACUUUAAUUGUUCCACGUCCUGCGUUGCUGUGUUUUUUUCUCUUUUUUUCUGUGUUUUCUUGUUUGGAUUAACUUUAUAUAUAUAUAUAUAUAUAUAUAUACAUAUAUUACAUACAUAUAAGAGGGAUGACCACUAAGUGGACGUCCAUUAUGCUAGAUGUAGACCCCCAUAUGGUCUGACUAGUAAGAAAAAAUUGUUCGCAAAAAAGUUCAACAAACGCCUGAACGUAAGCGAGCAAGACAAAUGUCGGUAGUUUGCUGUAAGGAUAGGACGAAUUAGUUUUGCCCUUCUUAAGACUCUUUUAAGGAUCGCUUACCUCUUGUCUUCCUAACUGUCAAAAGUGCAAAGCUAAAAGAAAAACUACGGAUUAAAAUUGUAAGCCAGAAUGUGAGUGAUACAAAUCAUUCGUACAAUCGUUCGAGGUUGACAGUUUGCCAUUAAUAACUCGAAUUUCACCAACUGAACUUGCAAUUUACUGCUGGACAGAAAAUAUGUCUCAGCCUUACAGUGCCACUUUUCCCGUGACACGCAGAGAGAGAAAGAGAGAAAGAGAGAGAGAGAGAGAGAGAGAGAGAGAGAGAGAGAGAGAGAGAGAGAAAGCUAUGCUAAUUUGCUAGUUAAUCGAAAAAAAAUAAAAAAGCAACACUAACAAACAUAAAUAGUACCAGCAGCAGAAAAUGAACUCAGUUUCCAAGGGUAAAACCUGGCAGGAAAUUAAACUAGCUCCUUAAUUACUGAGAGCGACCCACAUUCCCUGACAUAAUUUAUACAGACAUUCAAGGCGCAGGGAUAGCUGGGUAGUUAAGGAGCCUGCUUUGCACCACAUCGUUUCGGGUUCAGUCCCACUACGUGACUUCUUAGGCAAGUGUCUUUUACUAUAGUUCCGGAUCGACCGAUGCCUUGUGAGUGGAUUUGGUAGGCGGAAACUGAAAGAGCCCGUCAUAUAUAUAUAUAUAUAUAUAUAUAUAUAUAUAGGUAGGUAUAUAUGAAUGUAUGUAUGUAUGUGUGUAUGGGUGUGUGUGUAUGCGUUUGUGUGUGUGUGUUUUCCCCCUUCCACUGCUGACUCACCG
rnacentral:lncRNA from 1 species